UAAAGCACAGCCCUCUUCUCAGGGGCGAGGUCCCCUGAAACCCUGGACCUGGGGAUUUUCUUCCAGAAAGUGGCUCCCCUGGGACCUAGGAAGAGGGGCAGUGACCACCACUCAGGUCCAGCUCCCAAGCUACCAUGACCUAGAGUCUCAGUCCACUUGUAGCUCAACCGUCACCACCCAGAUGGGCCCUUCGACCAUGGAGACUUCUGUUUGGAGGGGUAGUCAGCAAGGCAGGGGGACAUCCUGGACACACCUUGACAUUUGGGGCUCUUCCUGCUGAUGCUCUGGGGAGAUGGCAGAGCAAGGGGACAACUUAGGAAGCAGAGAAGACUCUUGAAGUAAAUGGGGGCAAGGCUGUUUAUUCUUCUUGCAAGGACUAUGUCAUCACACACACGACAGAUGACAUACACACAUGCCACAGGCCUGUCUAAGCCACUUGGAAGUCCACUCACUGCCACUUCCUGUGGGUGUAACAGAUCUGGCUGCUUUUUGCCCCUGCUAGAAGAUAUGUAAGUUUGUCCUGGGUCAGCAGGGGCUGGAUCCAGACCAAGUACGUUUAAGGUAAUGCAAUUUUGUAUUGAAAUCUACUUCCUGCCAGCCUGGCCCAUGUGGCUCUGCCCUCAGAAGGCUCGAGCCAGUGGAUAAAUGGAUGAUUGCAUCCCAGUGUGAUGAGCACAGGGACAGAGAGCCUAGGGAGUAUGUUAUAGGAAGUGCCUUUUGUAUCUUUUUACUAAAACGCGGUAGCAAUUCCAUGAGAGGUGGAAACAGGUCACGCGGCCUUAAAGGAUGAAUAGGAGUUCACCACCAAGAGGAAGGAACAGUGUAUGUGAAAGCAUGAGAGGUUCAGGUGCUUGGCAAAACCAAGAAAUUAUGUGCAGCAGGAGGAUAGCACUGAACUGAGUACUUCUGUGUGCCAGGCACAGUGCCAGGUGUGUUGUGCACAUUAUCCCAGUGGAUCCUCAUGGCAGCCAAGUGGGGAAGUAAUGGCAUCCCCAUUUUGGACAAGAAAGCUGAAGCUCAGAGAGGUUGAGCCCCUGGGCUCACAGACCCUGUGAGUAGCAGCAGCACCUGGGUCAGUGGAAUUCCAGGGGAAAUUCCAUGGUCCAAGUUUGCAGUAAAUCUCAGACAUCAUUGAAGUAGGAAGACAUUAGUAGCUGGAACCCUGGGAUGAGGUUUUGGAAGAUUUAAGACAAAAUGGAGCAAUCUGGAGGAAAAGGGCAAAUUUUCAUGAACUUUUGUUCUUCUUGAAGCUCUCCAGAUCUUCUCAUUUCAAAAUGUACUGUACACGAUGCAUUUUUAAUGCUCCAAAUUGACAAUGUAAUUCUAGAUCAUCACCAGGUUCUGAAAACUGCAGGAGUAGGGCUCUCUCUUUCCUCCAAAAUUUCCAUUCCUCUCUCUCUAGGAGUGGGAGGGAAGUUUUUGCCCUUGGUUUAAAAAUGUCCUGCCCCUGAAGUAGCAGGAAAGGCUGGCAUCAGAUCUUGGCUUUCCCUCCCUGAGCCCCUGUGUCCUCAUCUGUAGAGUGAACUUCCUUCAUGGGUAGUUGUGUAGAUUAAAUGAGAUAAUGUAUGUGUAGCUUUAGGGCCCAUCACCUGAGGAUGCUAUUAGCACAUGGUGAGUACUGUUUCUAAGCUGGAAUGUGAAGCAGAGCUAGAGACCUACAGGGAAAGUGGGUAGGCUUUCAGGAGCAGCAAGAAAGAAGAGCCUGGGGUCCCAGCCUGGGGAUCCCUCCCUUGCUUCCUAGGCGCAGGAGCCUGUGGAGAGUGAGAAGCCACUGGGGAAGCAGGAGGAGGAUGGGGAGAAUGUGUUGCCAUGGAAACUGGAGGAGGAGGGCGUUCCCAGGAGGAGGGAGUGAUGGAGAAUGUCAAAUGUCAUAAGAGAGAAUGGGGGUGGGGAGGACAGGAGGCUGACGGGAGCAAACUAGAGUCCUCAACUUCAGUCUCCUGCAUGGCUUAGGAAACCCCCAAGCCCUUUCAGAUCUCAACUCUGAAGCUAAAUGGCUGCAUGAACCAGGCAAGGGGAUUUGCCCUCUCUGAGUUUCUGUUUGCUCCUAGAUCUAACACAAAGGCUGGGGUUAGUCACUAAUAUGAUGGCCAGUCUCUAAUAAGAUCUCUGAGUUUGAUGGAUUCUUGGCCACUUGUUUUUGUUUGUUUGUUUGUUUUUGGUACCAGGGAUCCAACUCGGGACCUUGUGCUUGUGAGACAGGCAGCAGCACCACUGAGCUAAAUCCCAGGCCCUUUGGCCACUCGUUAAUAGGGUGACUGAGGCCCCUCUGCAAGCCAACUGCCUACCAAAGUGCUGGCACCUGCUAGGUCCAAUACAGGGUUAUCUUCCAGUAAUUAUGCAGAUGCCAGAGGCAGCUGUUGGAAAGAAGUGUGCUUGGCUUGGAAUUGGAAAUGCCCUCCAUAUGGAGGGUGGUCAGUGUGUCGAAGUUCUACCAGCGUUCCAGGAGCAGAAGGAGUCUCGGGUGGCCAUCUGCUGGGUCUCAGUCCAAAGACCACCCUCUCCUUGUAACUGACAGAUCUUGAGCCUGGGACUACAGAUCUGGAGCAGGAACUAGACCUAGAAAUGCCAAACCUUCUAGGAAGUGCCACACGCCCCACCAGCUCCUGGCUCCAGGACCCACGCAGAAAACACACAGAGCUUUCUUUCAGCAUUUAUUUAUUUGUUAUUAUUUAUUCCUUUAUUUCACUGCCAGACACCAGGCGAGUAGUGCUAAGAGCUGGUGGGAAUGGUGGGAGAGUCAGGACCACUCAGAGCUUACAGAUGGGGGUCAGGCCAGGACACUGGCUGUGUGGGUCUGGGGCUCUGGCUGCAGGCAGCUUGGGAAUUCAAGGCUGAGCUUCAGGGAGCUGCCGAGGUCCUUCCAGACUGCCAGGCUGAUGCUGUAGAGUGUGCAGCUGGGAGGUUGCCCUGGGUGUAGCUCCAGUGCCAUUGCCAUUGCAAGGAUGAGCCCUACCCAGGAUGCCCAGUGCUUUCACACAUUCCAUCUCUAUGACAGGCUGUUGUGAUGCCAAUAGUAGGUGACCAGCAGUGCUUACCUGCACCCAAUUACAUAGAGUAGCUCACUAAUCUUCCCAGUCUGACUAUGAAAUCCACUCUAUUUUUCUUAUCUCCAUUUUGCAGAUGAGGAAACAGGCUCAUGAGAGGAAUGACUUGCUCAAGGCCACAUGGUUAAUCAGUGAUUGGCCCAGCUGAGACCCAUCUUAGGCCUGUCAAGUCCACUUCCUCUGCUUUCCUACUUUGGCCUCCCAUGAGGAAGCACUCUCUAAUUACCCAGAAGGCCCCAGCAAGAUUGUCAUAUCCAGCUGGAGGUCACAGACUGAGCAUUUCCUGUGCCAGAUUCUGUGGCUUGGCUGCAGAUUCUACCAUCACCUUAGCAGCCCAUGCCAGCUGCCCAAAAAACUGCUGUGACCUUGGCAGAUCCUUCUCCACAGCCUUCCCUGCCUGCUUUGGAAGCCUGCUUGUUCUAUAACUUUUUGACACCCUGCCAUGUCUUUUCUGUGUGACCCUGGGCAAGACAUUUCACUCAGCCCAUUUCCUCUAUUAUGGAGGACACUUAGCUGGUAAGAAGUUGAGAUUUAGAAAGGCUGCAAGUGGUGGGCCUUGUCUGCCCUGGUUACAGAAGUUCCCAGCAGUGCCGGGUGUAGUAGUGCACACCUGUAAUCCCUGUACUCGGGAGGCUGAGGCAGGAGGAUCACUGUGAUUUCGAGGCCAGCCUGAGCUACAUAGAGAGACCCUGUCUCAAAAAACAAACAGUUCCCACCAAACGCAAGCGGGCACCAUGUGGGUGAAUAAUAUGCCUGGUGCACAGCAAAUGCUCAAGAAAGGGAGCCUUUUCCUUUCAUCUAAUGCUUUCAAUUACACGUGUUUCAGUCCUUUUCCUAGUGCUGUAGGCAGGGCAGGACCAAAGGUCUUUCUCUGAUAACCAUCUUUCGAGCUUCAGAAAAAGCCUGCAAUAGAGAAGCUACCUUCAAGAGGAAGUCUAAGGGCUGGGGAUUUAUCUCAGUGGUUCCCCCACCUGUCUUGCAAGCACAAGGUCCCGAAUUUGAUCCCGGUACCAAAAAAAGAGGAAGUCUCCUCACCAGCUUCUUUUUUGUGGCUGUCCUCUUGUCUCUCCGGGGACCCAAGAGUGGAGGGCAGCCUGGAAGGGCAGAGGGGGUCCCAGUGGCCUUGGUGUGGGCCUGUUGGCCUGAACGCUUGAGUCAUGGAGAAGGCGAAUGUGACAUCCACUUGAUGGGUCUCAUCUUCUAAAAUCCCUCUGGAAAUGAAUCCUCAGGCGACGGGGAAUACAGUUUUGAUUCUGUCCUCCGCUCCCUUGCUGUGUGAUGUUGGGCAGUUCUCUGUCCCUCUCUGGGCAGACAGUGGAGGAGCACAGUUAGGAACUGAUGGAUUCUGAGGGCUGUGGUAUUCUGGGAGAGAACCGAGACUUUUCCCUCAUGUUCCUUGAUCCCAGAAACUGACAUCUAGUGGCAAAAUCCCUGGGCAUUGGUCCAGAUUUGGGGAAAAGCAUGCCUGGGGACUGGCACCUGUCAUUAGCACUGCCAUGCUUUGGCAGUGAGGGAGGUAGGUAUGGCACAAAUGGAGCUUGCCUCACACACUUGCCUUUUAUCCCUCCCAGGUUCCACCUUGGUACUUAGAUCCAAUCUGUUUUCCCAAUAAAAUGAGCAU
ensembl:lncRNA